UCAAGUUUGGCAUGUGUUUUAACACAUGUGAAGGUGUAGUCUUUUCUUCUUCAGCGGAUAUUUGUACAAGACCCCGUUCACCGUCUAUCAGCUCUAGCUCGGCAAGAAUAAAGCGGUUCCUUAGAAGUGGUGGAGGUGCUGGGGUUCUGCAUACCAAGGACGUAUAAGGUCACAAAGCUGCACCCAGGUAGAGGCAGAAUCCAAAAAUGCUUGUGUACUUAAGUAUAGCUGCACAUUACAGAAUCCGAGGCCCUCAAGAUUUAUCCGUAGCCCUCGUGUAGCCCACGAGUUCCAUAUCUUUUAUUGGGAUUGAAGAGUAACGCUUGUGCUGUAUCCUUCUAUUUCAGACUAAAUAAUGUGCAUGCAAAAUUAUAUCUUCAUUACUUUACACCAUUGCACCAAUAUCUGUUGUGCGUUGAUUUUCUGAUGUCCUUGCAUUUGCUAUAGCAAGGAUUUUUAAAAAUCAGCCACAAAAGAAAAAAAUAAAUGGUCAAGGAACGAAGCGGUGUGUAGCAGCUCCCUUUUUUUUAAUCGGCUGCAAGUUUUGCACUCGUGUGUUAGCAACACUGUUUCGCGAGUUGCGUACUUCAAAAGAAGUGUUACCUUUCUGCUUUGGAACUUUGUGGUUUUGUUCUGCCAGCUGCUUGACCAACACAAGCAAAAUGUACUUUGGAUAUUCCACAAAUUCAUUCUGUAUGCAUUUGGUACAAUAAAAUUUGUUUCAAGAAUGGACAAA